rnacentral:rRNA from 1 species
CCUACGGGGGGCAGCAGUGAGGAAUAUUGGUCAAUGGGCGGGAGCCUGAACCAGCCAAGUCGCGUGAGGGACGACGGUCCUAUGGAUUGUAAACCUCUUUUGUCGGGGAACAAAGGCGCCCACGGGUGGGCGGAUGAGUGUACCCGAAGAAAAAGCAUCGGCUAACUCCGUGCCAGCAGCCGCGGUAAUACGGAGGAUGCGAGCGUUAUCCGGAUUUAUUGGGUUUAAAGGGUGCGUAGGCGGACAGUCAAGUCAGCGGUAAAAAUGCGGUGCUCAACGCCGUACAGCCGUUGAAACUGGCAGUCUUGAGUGGGCGAGAAGUAUGCGGAAUUCCCGGUGUAACGGUGGAAUGUGUAGAUAUCGGGAAGAACACCAAUGGCGAAGGCAGGUCUCUGGGCCGUUACUGACGCUGAGGAGCGAAAGCGUGGGGAGCGAACAGGAUUAGAUACCCCAGUAGUC